rnacentral:rRNA from 1 species
UACGUAGGGUGCGAGCGUUGUCCGGAAUUACUGGGCGUAAAGAGCUCGUAGGUGGUUUGUCGCGUUGUCCGUGAAAACUCACAGCUUAACUGUGGGCGUGCGGGCGAUACGGGCAGACUGGAGUACUGCAGGGGAGACUGGAAUUCCUGGUGUAGCGGUGGAAUGCGCAGAUAUCAGGAGGAACACCGGUGGCGAAGGCGGGUCUCUGGGACGGUACUGACGCUGAGACGCGAAAGCUAGGGUAGCAAACGGG